UGGAUGGGGAACUUCUGUGUCUGCAGUUAUCUCUUAAAAUACAUGAAUGUUCUGUACAUGCAAAUUAUGUGACUGUAAACGCAAGAGGGGGCGUUACAAUACCCUGAUGGGAUAAAAGCAAUCUAGAGUGUAUUUUGGGCAGAGAUGUACAACUGAUGUUUUGCAGUUUACACCUCUCCACGCUGCGUGCAUUCAUUAAAAUCAAUUGUUUGACCGACCUCUUCUGGACCAUCAUUGUUUUACUCUCGUCCUCAAUUUCGAACCCAUAACACUUGAAUAAUGAAUAAGGCUACGUCCACACGUACCAGCGUAUUUUUGAAACCGCUGAUUUUUCUAUGCGUUUGCACCUUUUGUCCACACGUAAUGUAUGUCUGGCCAUACAUUGUGUUUGUAUUUCCAGGCACAUUUCACGAAGCAGAACGCAGUCUUCAGAGAUAUCCACGUGAACGCUGUGAUACGUCUGACCUUCAGUCCGAAGAAGAAACCCAGACCAGUCUUAAAAGAAAGCACAAACCAAAUCCCCUGUACACAUAUACGGACUCAGAGGAUGAGUUUUUUUGUGGGGAAAGCCUACAAAAAAACGGUUUCCCCAGGCCCCUCGAGUGAAAAUACCAGCCCUCAUCACUCCGCAGUCUGCCCCCCAGCCCACUGAUAGCAACCAUCAUAAUGCCCCACCCAGCUUCCGGCACCUUUCGCCACUCCGGCACAAACCGACACAGCUUUGCGAUCUCGCCAGCAUGCAGAGUCUGAUGUCUUCCCUAUAGAUGAUUCCAGAGACUCUGUGAAGCCACUAUUACAAGGUGAGACGCUUUGCGUUGAUUGGUGCUGCUGGACCACACUGGAGGUGCGAGUCCGCCGUGUAAUGGUUUAUGCCAUUACAAAGGAGCUGGCCUCUGUACUCAACUGGACAGGGGAAAAAAAACAAGGACCAGACAAAGCAAAAAAGGGCAUUUAAAGAGACAGCGCCGUGCAGAUGCAUAUUUGAUGGCCUGGUGCAGCAGGUAGGGGCGAACUCUAUGUCUGAGUUGGUCUUUGCUCAAGCAGUCCAGAAAUGGCUCAGAUAUGCUCCAGAUCGUACGGGUGGCGCGCAGGAAGCACAUCAUCCAUCCCCAUCCCGGAGUAAAUAAUAAAAAGUGACGUGAAACAUAGAAAUGUAAAUAGGAAACUUUGUCUUUUAAUAAAGUAUUUUGCAAAUGA